UAUUGUGAGAGGGCCGUGUGUCACCGCAUCCCAAACGACUCAAAAUAAUAAACCACAAAGUUAACAAAACAAUGGACCCCAAAAUGAUGGAAGCGAGAGCGUUUUUUUUUCUGGUUACUUCAAAACAGUUGCACCAUAAUGACUUAUACUGCCUUCACGUGCUAUCGGCAGCUUCCUAUUUCCCACUUAUAUGAAGGUAAGUUUAAAUGAGCCGUUUUAGGAGGGCGUGGACGAGUCUUAACUUUUAUAAAGAAUAUCUCUUUGGGUUUGAGACUUUAUUCUUUGCAACUUUAGGGAUCUCAUCUAUGCACGAACAGCUUGUAACGCUCCAAAGAGAAAGGAAAACUUGAAAUUGCAUCAUAUGACCCCUUUAAAAGUCAUUGAAUAAUCACACUGAUGUAAAAGCAUCAAAUGCAGUCACUGCUAAAACCAUCAACUGUUCAGCUGUCUGUAUUUCUGAUGUAACAAACUGAAGCUCAUCAAACAUCGAAGGUUUUCAACACCACCUUCUUUCAAAAUGAACAAGUCCCAUAUAGCUUUACACAUGAACAGCAUUUGAAAGCAUUUUUCACUUUUUUUUUUUUUUUUGAGGAAAUGUAUCAGUUUAUACCUGAGGGAAGUGAAGAACUGUGUGAUAAUAUAUGCAUUUGGACCUCAUUUAACACACCAAGUAAGAUGAACUUCCUUUCUGCAUAAAUACUGACCCACUCAAACACAGACGAGGAGCACAACACAGUCCACUAGUGUAACUCAACUAGUGUUCUUGACACCGAAAGUAUAAAAAACGACUACAGAAAAGAGUACAACCUGCAAAAUGCACCGAGAAGAUGGAAAAAGGGCUGAUGAUGUGUAUGAAAAUAUUGACGUUAUAACUGGUCGAUCUGGAAAAGAGAUCACCGACCAUAAUGCAUCGAGAAUCCAGUCAUCUGAACUCACAGGUGAAUUCCUGUGAAUUUCAAACAUAAUAGCACAAAUGUAAUCAAUAAUGACUUACUGCUCAGUUUGCAUGUUUUCAGUUGCUGUGUUCUGUGUUAAAUGGAAAAAUAUAGAGAAUAAAGUCAUGUUUGUUGAUGGUCAGGAAGUGAUGGUGUGAAGAUCAGGAGCUCCAGAGCAGCUGCAGUGUGUUUGGUGCUGCUGUGUGUUCUUCUGCUGACUGCGGUCAUAGUGCUGUGUGUCACCUUCACUCAAGAGAGACAACAGCUACUAACUAAGAUCACCAACCACACAGAAGAAAGAGACCAGCUACUAACCAACAAUACCAACUUAAUUCAACUAAACGUACAGUUCAAUCAAGAGAAAAAUGAACUGUCAAAGCUUAUUCAAGAUGGAUGGAUUUACUAUCAAUUCAGUCUUUACUACGUUUCCAAUGAGACAAAGAACUGGACUGAGAGCAGACGAUACUGUACAGAGAGAGGAGCAGAUCUAGUGAUCAUAAAGAACAGCGAAAAACAACCUGGAUUGGUCUGACCGACAGUGAUGAAGAGAGCAGAUGGAAAUGGGUUGAUGGCAGCACACUGAGCUCUGGGUUCUGGAUACCUUCUUCUGAGCCCAAUGGAAAUAUAUAUGAGAACUGUACUAUCACUCUUUCAGGAGUAUGGGCUGAUUAUCCAUGUUCUAGCAUUUUUAAAAUGUUACAUUUUUAAAAUGUAAAAUGACUAUUAUAUGCAAUACAUGUUUAUUUUCAGCAUAAAUAUGCUGGAACACUUAAACACCCAGAUCUUUUUAAUACCAUUAGCAGAGAGAGGCAAUAUUUGAAUUAAAUGUAUUUGAUUAAUUACUAAAUACAUAUUUUGUCAUUUGUAUUUUGC